AAUGAAGUUGAUGUUUGUCUUGUGCUGUUGUACUUGUACAUGUUAUUUUAUGUUUGUCCUGGUAAACUGAAAUGAAGCGUAAUAGUUACAAUCAAAUUUUGUUGUUGUUGUUGCAGUUACUCCGAAUUGAGGAGGAGCUUGGAGAAGAAGCAGUUUAUGCUGGUGAAGAUUGGAAACAAUAAAAGUGAACAAAUUACUGAAACUGACUUUUGAGAUAUGCUUGUCUUCAUUUAAAUUGAUAGUGAGGUUGAAGUUUCUUAAUAUACCAUAUUCACCUACUUCUGAUGUAUUGCCUUAAAUGUUUCUUUCAUUAUUUUGUGAUUUUAGGCUUUAGCAAGUGUUUCAGCUAUAAUCUAUAGUUCAUUCAAGAGUGUGUAUGUGAUAGUGCGGCCAGAAACAAUAAUACUAAUCCAUGACAAGUUAAACGCUAUGAAUCAUAUUUGCUUUGGUGUAAUCAUCAUAGACACAUUGGGAUUGACAUAAACAACUUAGGUACACAUUUGUUGUUCCACAUGUUGUAUCAUUACAUGUGUUAUAAGCUGUGAUUGAUCAGAAAAAUAGUUAAUCAUCAUAGGAGUGGGUCACCAUGGCAACAUAAACACCUACUAAAAGACAAAAUCGGAUAAAUUAUUAUUGUUAUUAUUAUUAAGAUUGAGGAGGUAGAUAAAUAAUGAAUGAAUAAAAGAAAAACAUUUGCAUGAGAGUGAUAUAUGAAGUGUCUGCGAAAGGACAUUGUGAAGAGUGAUAAUUCAACCAAAGUUGCCUCUCUGUCUUUUCCUUCAAUUGAAUGAACGGUGCAAAUUGCUAACUCUUUUUAGAUAAACCAAAUACCUCUUCACUCUUCCCACCAAUAAUUCAUUCCGAAUGCAUCUACCAUAUCAACUAUUCUUUGUCGUUUUACCAAUAACAACAGGAUCUUCAAUCACAUAUACUUUGAUACUUGUGCACCUAAAUUUAUAUAUUAACUUUAUAUACACUUAUUAAUAAUGCAUAACAAUCUUAUUUUUUAUAAAUACAAGUUCAACUUUGUUGCUUUCGAGGCUCAUUAAAUCCGGAGCAAUUUUUAUCAUUAACAUGCUUUGAUUACUACUUUUUGGUUUAAUAUAUAACUAAGUUAUUUAAAUAUGAAGUUAGAGGUUUAAUUAUCACGUGGACGAGGUUGCAUGUCUACAUAAAUUGCGUAUUAUCACGUGGAGAUGACUUAAUAAUAAGAUUAAGUUUGUGAUGAAGAAUGAAAAAUAGUGAGUUAAAAUCUUUGUGUUAAUUGAGUCCUUGGUCUAGUGGCAUUUUUAGAUAGGAAGAUAAUGUAAAGUUAAGGCAUAAGUUUUCAGAAAUUAAAGUAAAAGAGAAAUGUGUACUAUAGAUAUUUGAAAAUGAUUAUAUUAAGUUACCAUUAAUGUAAAAAAAAUUAUCAUCCAACUUAUUUUGUUUUUUUGUAUUACUAAUAAUAUUUAUUCACUUUCUUGGAUAAGAAAUUAUUCUUUUUCAAGGUUUAUGGUUAUCACUCAUAACAAAUAUCGCUCUAAAGAAUUGAAUCUACCGGAUUGUAGUAUUUGAUUGUGAAGAGGGUAUUUUUGAUGAGAUAAUAAUAAUAACAUAACAUGAUUCACAACCACACGCUAUCUCAUUUUCCUCUCUCUCUCUCACUCUCACUCAGUCACAGACAUAAACACUCUCUCUCUCUCUCUAAAUCGUGAUUGAAUUGAAUGGCUUCUAUCGCUACUCUUAAAGUCCCUUCUUCUUCUUCAUCUUCAUCUUCUUCCUUCUUUCUUGGAAGGAAAUCCAACCCAUGCAACUUCCUCUCAUUCUCUGCAUCAAAUCUCUCUGGUGACAAAAUUCCAGUGUGUGCAGGUGCAUCUAGAUCACGCUACACCCGCACCAUUCCUCCUCUCAUUCUCUCUCCAAAGGCUGUUUCCGAUUCCCAGAACUCUCAAACAUGUCUUGAUCCUGAUGCUAGCAGAGUCAGCACUAUUACCUUUUUCAUUUCUAUUUUUAGAUCCUAAUAUUGCAAACCUUCACUUUUUAAUAUCAUAUCUUUUUAUUUUACCUUUUUUAAUAAACAUCAAAUAUGAAUGAGUAUAAAAUCUAUACACUGUUAUAUACGUGCACUCUAUCAUCUGUGGUUCAUUUAGAAUACUUUUUAUUUAUUUUGAAAAAUCAACAAUAAUUAAAUAUUAAUGAUAAAUGAUGUGGAGAAACUGUAGACUCUUUCAUAGCUGAUUUAUCUGUUGGCCUUGCUGCUGGUCAGAUCAAAGCAGGCGCUCCUUGCAGAGGAGAGCGGCUAGAAAAGUACAACCAGGUAUCUUUCUCAUUCUUUUGCUCAUGACGAUUACUGCAAAGUUAUGGCUACUUUAGAUAUAGUUCUCUUCCUAUAAAACAAAGGACCCAAUAUCGAAUAUUACAAUAACCAAGUCCAUGGUGAAGUAAUUUACAUGGAGCUUUCCUUAUUAGCUGUGAGUCAUUGUGGGAAUGAAGUUGAUGUUUGUCUUGUGCUGUUGUACUUGUACAUGUUAUUUUAUGUUUGUCCUGGUAAACUGAAAUGAAGCGUAAUAGUUACAAUCAAAUUUUGUUGUUGUUGUUGCAGUUACUCCGAAUUGAGGAGGAGCUUGGAGAAGAAGCAGUUUAUGCUGGUGAAGAUUGGAAACAAUAAAAGUGAACAAAUUACUGAAACUGACUUUUGAGAUAUGCUUGUCUUCAUUUAAAUUGAUAGUGAGGUUGAAGUUUCUUAAUAUACCAUAUUCACCUACUUCUGAUGUAUUGCCUUAAAUGUUUCUUUCAUUAUUUUGUGAUUUUAGGCUUUAGCAAGUGUUUCAGCUAUAAUCUAUAGUUCAUUCAAGAGUGUGUAUGUGAUAGUGCGGCCAGAAACAAUAAUACUAAUCCAUGACAAGUUAAACGCUAUGAAUCAUAUUUGCUUUGGUGUAA
rnacentral:lncRNA from 1 species